AGCGAACGCUGGCGGCAGGCCUAACACAUGCAAGUCGAACGAACUCUUCGGAGUUAGUGGCGGACGGGGGAGUAACACGUGGGAACGUGCCUUUUGGUUCGGAAUAACUCAGGGAAACUUGUGCUAAUACCGAAUGUGCCCUUCGGGGGAAAGAUUUAUCGCCAUUAGAGCGGCCCGCGUCUGAUUAGCUAGUUGGUGAGGUAACGGCUCACCAAGGCGACGAUCAGUAGCUGGUCUGAGAGGAUGACCAGCCACACUGGGACGGAGACACGGCCCAGACUCCUACGGGAGGCAGCAGUGGGGCAUCUUGCGCAAUGGGCGAAAGCCUGACGCAGCCAUGCCGCGUGAAUGAUGAAGGUCUUAGGAUUGUAAUUUCUUUCACCGGGGACGAUAAGGACGGAACCCGGAGAAGAAGCCCCGGCUACCUUCGG
rnacentral:rRNA from 1 species